UGGGGAAUUUUGGACAAUGGCGCAAGCCUGAUCCAGCCAUGCCGCGUGCGGGAAGAAGGCCUUCGGGUUGUAAACCGCUUUUGUCAGGGAAGAAAUCUUCUGAGUUAAUACCUCGGGAGGAUGACGGUACCUGAAGAAUAAGCACCGGCUAACUACGUGCCAGCAGCCGCGGUAAUACGUAGGGUGCAAGCGUUAAUCGGAAUUACUGGGCGUAAAGCGUGCGCAGGCGGUUUUGUAAGACAGAGGUGAAAUCCCCGGGCUCAACCUGGGAACUGCCUUUGUGACUGCAAGGCUUGAGUGCGGCAGAGGGGGGAUGGAAUUCCGCGUGUAGCAGUGAAAUUGCGUAGAUAUGCGGAGGAAACACCGAUGGCGAAGGCAAUCCCCUGGGCCUGCACUGACGCUCAUGCACG
rnacentral:rRNA from 1 species